rnacentral:rRNA from 1 species
UACGAAGGGGGCUAGCGUUGUUCGGAAUCACUGGGCGUAAAGGGCGCGUAGGCGGCCGAUUAAGUCGGGGGUGAAAGCCUGUGGCUCAACCACAGAAUUGCCUUCGAUACUGAUUGGCUUGAGACCGGAAGAGGUCAGUGGAACUGCGAGUGUAGAGGCGAAAUUCGUAGAUAUUCGCAAGAACACCAGUGGCGAAGGCGGCUGACUGGUCCGGUUCUGACGCUGAGGCGCGAAAGCGUGGGGAGCAAACAGG